rnacentral:rRNA from 1 species
AUUGAACGCUGGCGGCAGGCCCAACACAUGCAAGUCGAACGGAUGAAGGGAGCUUGCUCCUGGAUUCAGCGGCGGACGGGUGAGUAAUGCCUAGGAAUCUGCCUGGUAGUGGGGGAUAACGUCCGGAAACGGGCGCUAAUACCGCAUACGUCCUGAGGGAGAAAGUGGGGGAUCUUCGGACCUCACGCUAUCAGAUGAGCCUAGGUCGGAUUAGCUAGUUGGUGGGGUAAAGGCCUACCAAGGCGACGAUCCGUAACUGGUCUGAGAGGAUGAUCAGUCACACUGGAACUUGGACACGGUCCAGACUCCUACGGGAGGCAGCAGUGGGGAAUAUUGGACAAUGGGCGAAAGCCUGAUCCAGCCAUGCCGCGUGUGUGAAGAAGGUCUUCGGAUUGUAAAGCACUUUAAGUUGGGAGGAAGGGCAGUAAGUUAAUACCUUGCUGUUUUGACGUUACCAACAGAAUAAGCACCGGCUAACUUCGUG